rnacentral:misc_RNA from 1 species
AAGUCGUAACAAGGUUUCCGUAGGUGAACCUGCGGAAGGAUCAUUACCACGUAUCCACGUAUCACCCCGCGCACUGUUUUUACCGCCCUGGACCACUACCCGAGUUAGGAAGGCGAUGAGAGUUUGAAUGGGGCCUCCGGGCCGCUCUCAUUCCAAUAUUAUACGACUUUAGUGGUGGCACAGGCAAACUCUAUUACCGAAGUCUCCAUUCAAGAUGGAGGUAAUAGAAACAAUUUAACAAUUUUCACCCCUUUUUUGCUAGUUGGUUUAUCUGUUGUAUGUCUCGUGAUUAAUUUCAUUGGCCAUACACACGUUUAUUUAUUUGAACGUAAAAUUACAACUCUUAGCAAUGGAUAUCUAGGUUCUC